rnacentral:rRNA from 1 species
UACGUAGGGUGCAAGCGUUGUCCGGAAUUAUUGGGCGUAAAGAGCUCGUAGGCGGUUUGUUGCGUCGGCUGUGAAAUCCCGAGGCUCAACCUCGGGUCUGCAGUCGAUACGAGCAACUAGAGUGUUGCAGGGGAGACUGGAAUUCCUGGUGUAGCCGGUGAAAUGCGCAGAUAUCAGGAGGAACACCGGUGGCGAAGGCGGGUCUCUGGGCAACAACUGACGCUGAGGAGCGAAAGCGUGACGGAGCGAACAGG